AAAGAUUAGUGGGCUGCUCUUGUAAGUGGGCUUAAGGUCGGCCCAACGCAUAAAAGUCCUUAGGUCUGUCCUAAUUCCUCACUCAACCUCACUCUUGCAGAAAUCCAGCCGCCCUCACUCUCCAUACCCCUCACAGAACGCUCUGCUAGGGUUUGCCCUAAGGUGCACUUCGAGCUAGCUCAAACUCGGUUCCUACUCACUUUAGCAGCUGACCGCCCUAGGGGCAGUUCUACCUUCUUUGUACGGGUCAGAGCGUUUGCUAGCUUGAUUUCCAGAUGGGCGAGGUUCUCGUGGUCAGCAAGGGACUGGCGAUUCAGUAGCUUAGCCAUCCGGGCCGGAGUCAUUUUAUUCAUGAUUUCUUUAGGGCUACGACCCCUGUAUCUUCUUAUGAUUCCUUACUCUACACUCUUUGUUAGAAUUGUAUCGGUUUUAUGUUGACAUCUUGGUGUGCCAGGGUGUAGGGGUUGCGUUAAGGACCCCAAGACUACGCUGUUAUACUUUAU